CGCCAGCCUGACGGAGCCAGACCGCGUGGGGGAGGAAGGCCCUUGGGUUGUAAACCCCUUUUCUCAGGGAAGAAACCUGACGGUACCUGAGGAAAAAGCCUCGGCUAACUCCGUGCCAGCAGCCGCGGUAAUACGGAGGAGGCAAGCGUUAUCCGGAAUGAUUGGGCGUAAAGCGUUCGUAGGUGGCGAUUCAAGUCUGCUGUCAAAGACAGUAGCUCAACUACUGAAAGGCAGUGGAAACUGAAUGGCUAGAGUGCGGUAGGGGCAGAGGGAAUUCCCGGUGUAGCGGUGAAAUGCGUAGAGAUCGGGAAGAACACCGGUGGCGAAAGCGCUCUGCUGGGCCGCAACUGACACUGAGGGACGAAAGCUAGGGGAGCG
rnacentral:rRNA from 1 species